CUGAUGAUGAACGGAGAAAGAAUCCCAUCGGACGCAUCAACCUGACAAACUGCUCAAGUAAGAAGGUAGAAGCGGUCAACAGAGAGUUCUGUGCCCGUCCCAACACGUUUGAGCUGAUCACAGUCAGAGCUCAGAGAGAGGAUGACAGAGAGACGCUGGUCAGCCAGUGUACCAACACCAUGUGCGUCACCAGAAACUGGCUGAGUGCCGACACCA